AUUGAACGCUGGCGGCAGGCCUAACACAUGCAAGUCGAGCGGAUGAAGGGAGCUUGCUCCUGGAUUCAGCGGCGGACGGGUGAGUAAUGCCUAGGAAUCUGCCUGGUAGUGGGGGAUAACGUCCGGAAACGGGCGCGAAUACCGCAUACGUCCUGAGGGAGAAAGUGGGGGAUCUUCGGACCUCACGCUAUCAGAUGAGCCUAGGUCGGAUUAGCUAGUUGGUGGGGUAAAGGCCUACCAAGGCGACGAUCCGUAACUGGUCUGAGAGGAUGAUCAGUCACACUGGAACUGAGACACGGUCCAGACUCCUACGGGAGGCAGCAGUGGGGAAUAUUGGACAAUGGGCGAAAGCCUGAUCCAGCCAUGCCGCGUGUGUGAAGAAGGUCUUCGGAUUGUAAAGCACUUUAAGUUGGGAGGAAGGGCAGUAAGUUAAUACCUUGCUGUUUUGACGUUACCAACAGAAUAAGCACCGGCUAACUUCGUG
rnacentral:rRNA from 1 species